rnacentral:rRNA from 1 species
ACGUUUGUCGUGUCAACGCGGCGACAUUCCGUUUCGUAUCCCAAACAAAACGAAACACGUUCACGUGAAAAUGUGAUG